AUUAAUUCUUUCGAGAGUUUUUUUCAUUUUUGGUCUACCUUUCGCGAGUUCACCAUCACGGGUAAUCCGGCGUUCUUUCUCUUUCCUUUUUUUACUAUGAAAAGAAUUCAUCUAAAUCCAUAAAUUCCCGACCGAUGAAAUAUCCGCUAACUUCAGAGACCCGCAAAACAAUAUCAUCCCAAGAGCCUAGCCAUGUAGUUCAUCUUUGUGAGCCACUCAUUUGUGUCGGCAGGACGCUUUGGGGACCCUUUUAAUCUCCAAAACCUUGGAGCCUCGAAAUGGGACAUGAUGGGAUUCGUGGGAAGAAUUAGGUUUAAACGGGGCUCCUAUCCUAGGAAGAAUAAAAAAGGCAUUAAGACAUGAUGGAUUUAUACGUGGAGUGUUCGAGUUGUACACAGCGCUUCUUUUGACGUACGGGGCGUGGCAAAAACCGAAGGCUCGAGCUCCGACAUCUGGCAGCUCUAUCGUUUCCCGGAAGGGCGAUUUGCUUCGGAGUCACGGCCACGUUUCCCACGUUUGUUAAUGAGUAGAAGACUUAUCAACAGGAGACCUAGCAAAACCAUGUUUUAUCAGAAAGAGACGGGGCAAAACCAUGAGGUUAUACACGAUUGAGUACGAGUCGAAUCCGUGUUCUAACAAUCAAUCAUAUUAAAAACUUUUUAUUAUAA